GACGAACGCUGGCGGCGUGCUCAACACAUGCAAGUCGAGCGGUAAGGCCCUUCGGGGUACACGAGCGGCGAACGGGUGAGUAACACGUGGGUGACCUGCCUCUAGCUCUGGGAUAAGCCUGGGAAACUGGGUCUAAUACCGGAUAUGACUCCACGGCGCAUGUUGUGGGGUGGAAAGCCUUGUGUGGCUAGAGAUGGGCCCGCGGCCUAUCAGCUUGUUGGUGGGGUGAUGGCCUACCAAGGCGA
rnacentral:rRNA from 1 species